rnacentral:tRNA from 1 species
GGAGAGGUACGCCUAAUUGGUAAGGCACUAGUCUGGAGAACUAGAGCCCGUUUUACGGGCUUGCGAGUUCGAGUCUCGCCCUCUCCG